rnacentral:misc_RNA from 1 species
AACCAUUCUCACCUGCGGCUAGACCUGCGGAAGGAUCAUUACAGAGUCGCAAUACUCCGUAAACCAUUGUGAACGUUACCUUAACCGUUGCUUCGGCGGGCGGCGCCCGGGCCUCACCGCCCGCGGCGCCCCCAGGCCCCUCGUGGGCGCCCGCCGGAGAUACACCAAACUCUUGCAUUGUAUGGCCUCUCUGAGUAUUCUGUACUGAAUAAGUCAAAACUUUCAACAACGGAUCUCAGA